GUCGUCCCCUUGCCAACAAUAAAUCGGUUUGGGUUACAAAAGAGUCUGUGUGUAAAAGCCCACUUACACCACUACAUAUCAUACACAUCGUUGAAUGUUUAAGAAAGAUGCAUAGACAAUGAAUCUGUCGAAAAUUGCCGCAAUUGAAUCUGCCAUUUGAAGAAAAAUUUUAAGAGCGUCAGGAAACAAGUAAACGAAAACCAUUCUGGCAGCACAAUACAAUAUUAAGCAACAAGAACUUAUUAUAUAGGAAAAGUUAAUAGUAAGAAACCAAUUGGUUAUAUAAAUUUUUUAAAAAUGAAUGCUUGGGAUACCGAAG